rnacentral:rRNA from 1 species
ACUCCUACGGGAGGCAGCAGUGGGGAAUAUUGCACAAUGGGCGCAAGCCUGAUGCAGCCAUGCCGCGUGUGUGAAGAAGGCCUUCGGGUUGUAAAGCACUUUCAGUCGUGAGGAAGGUAGUGUAGUUAAUAGCUGCAUUAUUUGACGUUAGCGACAGAAGAAGCACCGGCUAACUCCGUGCCAGCAGCCGCGGUAAUACGGAGGGUGCGAGCGUUAAUCGGAAUUACUGGGCGUAAAGCGCAUGCAGGUGGUUUGUUAAGUCAGAUGUGAAAGCCCGGGGCUCAACCUCGGAAUAGCAUUUGAAACUGGCAGACUAGAGUACUGUAGAGGGGGGUAGAAUUUCAGGUGUAGCGGUGAAAUGCGUAGAGAUCUGAAGGAAUACCGGUGGCGAAGGCGGCCCCCUGGACAGAUACUGACACUCAGAUGCGAAAGCGUGGGGGAGCAAACAGGAUUAGAUA